CACGUAGGGGGCAAGCGUUGUCCGGAUUUAUUGGGCGUAAAGAGCUCGUAGGUGGCUUAGUAAGUCGGGUGUGAAACCUCCAGGCUCAACCUGGAGACGCCACCCGAUACUGCUAUAGCUUGAGUCCGGUAGGGGAGCGUGGAAUUCCUGGUGUAGCGGUGAAAUGCGCAGAUAUCAGGAGAACACCGGUGGCGAAGGCGGGUCUCUGGGCAGUAACUGACGCUGAGGAGCGAAAGCGUGGGGAGCGAACAGG
rnacentral:rRNA from 1 species